rnacentral:rRNA from 1 species
UACGGGGGGGGUAAGCGUUGUUCGGAAUUACUGGGCGUAAAGGGCUCGUAGGCGGCCAACUAAGUCGGACGUGAAAUCCCUCAGCUUAACUGGGGAACUGCGUCUGAUACUGGAUGGCUUGGAUUUGGAAGAGGGAUGCGGAAUUCCAGGUGUAGCGGUGAAAUGCGUAGAUAUCUGGAGGAACACCGGUGGCGAAGGCGGCAUCCUGGACCAACAUUGACGCUGAGGAGCGAAAGCCAGGGGAGCAAACGGG